CCUACGGGAGGCAGCAGUGAGGAAUAUUGGUCAAUGGACGAGAGUCUGAACCAGCCAAGUAGCGUGAAGGAUGACUGCCCUAUGGGUUGUAAACUUCUUUUAUAAAGGAAUAAAACGAGGCACGUGUGCCUUUUUGCGUGUACUUUAUGAAUAAGGAUCGGCUAACUACGUGCCAGCAGCCGCGGUAAUACGUAGGGAGCAAGCGUUGUCCGGAUUUAUGGGGUGUAAAGGGUGCGUAGGCGGGAUGGUAAGUUGGGUGUGAAAUCUACGGGCUAAACUGGUAGUCGCACUCAAAACUGCUAGUCUUGAGUGAAGUAGAGGCAGGCGGAAUUCCUAGUGUAGCGGUGAAAUGCGUAGAGAUUAGGAAGAACACCAGUGGCGAAGGCGGCCUGCUGGGCUUUUACUGACGCUGAGGCUCGAAAGUGUGGGGAGCAAACAGGAUUAGAUACCCUUGUAGUC
rnacentral:rRNA from 1 species